UACGUAGGAGGCGAGCGUUGUCCGGAUUUAUUGGGCGUAAAGAGCUCGUAGGCGGCUGGUCACGUCGGGUGUGAAAGCUCAGAGCUCAACUCUGAGAGGCCAUUCGAUACGGAUCAGCUAGAGGUAGGUAGGGGAAAGUGGAAUUCCUGGUGUAGCGGUGAAAUGCGCAGAUAUCAGGAGGAACACCGGUGGCGAAGGCGGCUUUCUGGGCCUUACCUGACGCUGAGGAGCGAAAGCUGGGGGAGCGAACAGG
rnacentral:rRNA from 1 species